AGGCGCAGACUCGCCACAUGCCAAUGUCAUCGAUCACUUAUCCUCUUAAGUUAAAAAAAAAAACUCAAGAAGAAAGCAGAAACAAAGAAAAGUGCCACAUGUUUAGCUACAUGCAAAAGCAUACUUCUCGUACAUGACACAAUACACUAACGUGUCUACUCAUCCCCACACUUACAUAUCUUCAACUCCACCUCCUCACACUAAUCCAAAACAAAACGUCUAACAUUAAAAAACUCUCACAAAGUAGAAGAAAAAACGUCAAGAUUAAUUGGAAGGAACCUUUUCUUCAAUAGAAGAAGAAAAUGGCUGGUGCUGAUGUGAAUAGGCCAUGGAGAAAUUUGCCGUAUAGCCCUGGCACGAUGGCGGUCGGUGGCGCUGUUGUUAUUGGCGGUAUAUGGUAUUACAUGACCUACAUGAAGAAGAAGCCAGAAGCUGAUCAUCAUGCUAGGGUUGCUGCUAGGGAUGCUGCUAGAGGGUUCAAUUUAUGGCUUCGUUCGAACUGGAUGAUUUGUUACUUUUGAUUUGAACCUCUUAUAAGUGUUAUAAAUUUAUUAAAUGUAUAAAUUGAUUACACACUCUUUUUCAUUUCAAAAUAAGUUGCGUUAGCAUUUCAAAUUCCGAAUUCACAUUUUAAUAAGACAGAUAUGAUAUGAGGAAAGUAUUUUGAUGA